rnacentral:rRNA from 1 species
CCUAGCUGUGUUGGCUUUCUAACCCGCACCACUUAUCGUGGUGGGAGACAGUGUCAAGCGGGCAGUUUGACUGGGGCGGUCGCCUCCUAAAAGGGAACGGAGGCGCUCAAAGGUUCCCUCAGAAUGGUUGGAAAUCAUUCAUAGAGUGCAAAGGCAUAAGGGAGCUUGACUGCGAGACCUACAAGUCGAGCAGGGUCGAAAGACGGACUUAGUGAUCCGGUG